rnacentral:rRNA from 1 species
UACGGGUGGCGCAAGUGUUACUCUUCAUCAUUGGGCGUAAAGGGUGCGUAGGCGGUGUAAUAAGUUUAAAGUAAAAUCAGAACAUAUAAGUAUUCUGUGAUUUUUUAUACUAUUGUACUAGAGUAUACUUAAGAUAGUGGAACUUUUAAUAAAGAAUUUAAAUGCGUGGGCAUAUUGAAAGGAACACCAAAAGCGAAGGCAACUAUCUCAAAAAUACUGACGCUGAGGACACGAAAGCAUAGGUAUCAAACAGG